UGCUUAACAGCUAGCCCGCCAACCCUAAAAAAAGAACAAAUAUUAAUAAACCCAAAUACACUAGACUUGCAACUAAACAAACCAUUUUUCCACUCAAGUAUAGGUGACAGAAAAAGAAAUUCGGCGCAAUAGAGAAAGUACCGCAAGGGAAUGCUGAAAGAGAAAUGAAAUAACCCAGUAAUGCUUAGAAAAGCAGAGCUUUCCCCUCGUAU
rnacentral:rRNA from 1 species